AAUAAUCUCCCUGAGUAGUAUGCUCGCAAGAGUGAAACUUAAAGGAAUUGACGGGGAUCCGCACAAGCGCUGGAGCAUGUGGUUUAAUUUGAAGAUACGCGUAGAACCUUACCCACUCUUGACAUCUUCUGCAAAGCUAUAGAGAUAUAGCAGAGGUUAACAGAAUGACAGAUGGUGCAUGGUUGUCGUCAGCUCGUGUCGUGAGAUGUUCGGUUAAGUCCUGCAACGAGCGCAACCCUUGUCCUUAGUUAAUUUUUUAGGGAGACUCCCCAAGUAAU
rnacentral:rRNA from 1 species